AAGUCGUAACAAGGUUUCUGUAGGUGAACCUGCAGAAGGAUCAUUAGUGAAGAUUUGGGCAGGCCAUACGGACGCCAAAAAAGUGUCCCUGGCCGCCUACACCCACUAUACAUCCACAAACCCGUGUGCACUGUCUUGGAGAAAGGCUUCUUGAGAAGUUUUGUGGCCUCUCUUGGGGUCUUUCUUCGCUACAAACUCGAAUGGUUAGUAUGAACGUGGAACUUGGUUGGACCGUCACUGGCCAACAAACUAUACACAACUUUCGACAACGGAUCUCUUGGUUCUCC
rnacentral:misc_RNA from 1 species